AUACACAAAAUAAAUCACCUAUCUCUCUAUGUUGCUAUUGGGACAUUUUCUCUCCGUGCAGAAGUAAUGCAAAAAAAAAAUUGGAAAAGUGGGAGUGAGGCCGAGAGCUAGCAUAGAUCUUCGAACGCUUCUAUAAAAGUCCAAUAAAGUGGAAUUAGGUUGGUGUCAGGUUAAACUCUUUCAAUACCUCCUUUUGAAAAUUGUUGAAGAGAAGACGAACAAACAGGUGUACAUGAAAAAGAAGUCGCUAGGCAAUUUUUUUUUUCCAUGAAAUACUCACUCGUUUCUUUUACAAACGAUGAGGUUGAAACACUUGGUGUCUCCGGGGAACUUCACAAAUCAAGUCCAUUUGGCCCACCAUUAUAGUUGUCAUCUCAUGCAGAAGUAGGUAACAUAUUCCUCCACCUCGCGGGACACCCAAUCAUAACCCGUAAUGACUGGGAGGGACUGAGCAAUCUCAUCCUUCUAAUUGGUCGUGUCAAUGUCUAAUGUGAUAAUGACCAUAGUAUCAUUAGUAGGUGUGGCCUUAUUUGUAUCCACACUAGCCACAUUAUCGAUUGAAUCUGUGUCUCACUCGAUUGGUUCCAAAAUCUUGAUUGG
rnacentral:lncRNA from 1 species